rnacentral:rRNA from 1 species
AAGUUAUGGUGGGGAAGUAAGGUGGGUGAAAGAAAAAUUGCCUGGGUUGCAUGAGACAUCAUGACGAUGCCAAAGUAUGAUGGAUGGGUUUGAUACAUAGAAUUGUUCAACUUGGCGUUGCUAGAGCGCCAAGUGUGGCGAAUAUUGCAUGAUUUGAGAAUGUUGGGUUCGAGGAUUCCCAAGAUAGUUUAUUUCCCUAACUCUGAUAUCCUUUGUGUUGAAGUUGGUUCACAUCCAUCUCAAGUGUAGCACUCCCUGUGUGAAGCUAGAGAUAUACUGCAGUUGGCGCUGAUAAUAAGAAUUGGAGACGGACUAGCUACAAACGCAUGGCAAGAAAAUUGGAUUUCACGGGAUUUCAAGCCAAGCCCCACAUGUGCUUUAUCUGUUAACCCUCAUGUCUUGGUCUCAGAAUUCAUUUGCUCGACGACCCGAUAG